rnacentral:rRNA from 1 species
CCUACGGGAGGCUGCAGUAGGGAAUAUUCCGCAAUGGACGAAAGUCUGAUGGAGCAACGCCGCGUGAGGGAAGAAGGGCUUCGGCUCGUAAAGCUCUGUUAGUAGUGAAGAAAGAUAGAGGUAGUAACUGGCAUUGAAUUGACGGUAAUUACUUAGGAAGUCAAGGCUAACUACGUGCCAGCAGCCGCGGUAAUACGGAGGUGGCGAGCGUUGUGCGGAUUUAUUGGGCGUAAAGCGAGCGAAGGCGGUUCGAUAAGUCUGAGGUGAAAGCCCGCGGCUCAACCGGGGAAUUGCAUCAGAAACUGUUGAACUUGAGUGCAUGAGAGGAUAGUGGAACUCCAGGUGUAGCGGUGAAAUGCGUAGAUAUAUGGAAGAACACCAGUGGCGAAGGCGGCUCUCUGG